rnacentral:rRNA from 1 species
CGCGAAUAGCUCAUUACAACAGCCAUUGUUUACUGGAUCUUGAUCAGUUACUUGGAUAACUGUGGUAAUUCUAGAGCUAAUACACGCAAUCGAGCUCCGACCUGACGGGACGAGCGCAUUUAUUAGAACAAAACCAAUCGGUGCUUCGGCUCCGUGGUUUGUUGACUCUGAAUAACUGAGCAGAUCGCUUCGGUCUUAGUACCGGCGACGUAUCCUUCAAGUGUCUGCCUUAUCAACUUUCGAUGGUAAUUUAUGUGAUUACCAUGGUUGUAACGGGUAACGGAGAAUUAGGGUUCGACUCCGGAGAGGGAGCCUGAGACACGGCUACCACUUCUAAGGAAGGCAGCAGGCGCGCAAAUUACCCAAUUCCGGUACGGAGAGGUAGUGACGAAAAAUAACAAGACGGAGCUCUUUAGAGUUCCGUCAUUGGAAUGAGAACAAUUUAAACCCUUUAACAAGGACCUAGUGGAGGGCAAGUCCGGUGCCAGCAGCCGCGGUAAUUCCAGCUCCGCCAGUGUAUAUCUAUGCUGCUGCGGUUAAAAAGCUCGUAGUUGGAUCUGCGUGCCUGAAGCCAGUCCACCUAAAUGGUGUGCACUGAACUUCGGCACUGAAUGGACGGUUCGCUCUUGGUGCUCUUAACCGGGUGUCUUGAGUGUCCGUCAAGUUUACUUUGAAAAAAUUAGAGUGCUUAAAACAGGCGGGUUGCCUGAAUAUUCGUGCAUGGAAUAAUAGAAUAGGACUUCGGUUCUAUUUUGUUGGUUUUCGGAACACGAGGUAAUGAUUAAGAGGGACAGACGGGGGCAUUCGUAUUGCGACGUUAGAGGUGAAAUUCUUGGAUCGUCGCAAGACGGACAACUGCGAAAGCAUUUGCCAAGAAUGUUUUCAUUAAUCAAGAACGAAAGUUAGAGGUUCGAAGGCGAUCAGAUACCGCCC